CAGUUCUAUUCUGCAAGCUCAGAGAUGCAAAAAGCCUGCGGCGCUCUGGAGGCGCCUGGUCCUGGGGACCUCUUUCCUCCACUCUGUUCUCAGCAUAGGAAGAUGGGGCUGGGGAAUUCUUUUUGGUUUUCUGGUUUUGUUUUGCUCUGGUUUUGGUCGGGGUUUUGUAUUUUUCUAUUCUUCCUUGGUUUUAUUUUUUCCUUUUUUUCCUUUUUUUUUUUCUUUUGCUUUCCUGUCAUUCUCCCAGCCAAAAGCCGCCUUCGACCCUUUUGAUUUGAUGUAGCAAAGAGUGUGUGUCCAGAUUAUCUGAAAUAGACACUGAAGAAGUGGGAGGCUCGAGUGGCUCCCUGGGACUAAGCUCUGUCCCCAAGGACCUCAGUGAUUGAUUGGGGCGGUGGCUUGGAAGACAUGAGCUUCCUGUCCCUGCCAAGGCGCUAUCCUGUGCCUGCGGUCAAGCGAAAUCUGGCAGGUCAGAUCCGGGUGGAGGCUGGGGCAGAGCCGGGUAUCUGUUUCCAGAGUUGCUACAUAGAUGGUCAAGCAGGGCCCGGAAGAAGACCAUUCAGGAAAAAGUGGUCCAGGACUCGGUGGAUGGGCUGCCGGCAGACCGGUGUGGCUCAGACCUGGUGACUUUUUGGAGAGGUCGUAGAAUGAGGACAGCAGACACACGAGGACCUUGACUUCGGCGCACAGACAGUGCAAAAAGGAGACAAAGACGGACAGAAUCAAAAAAGAGCGUAUUUCCCCCUCCUACGUAUUUGUUUUUCCUGAUAGUCUCACAAAGAUGAGAGUCUGGUCCGGUCCAGCGGGUUAUCUUGUGGCACUGGCUGUCUCCAGUGGCUGUGCCUGCGCUUUGAGGCCACUCUGCUGUUCACCGUGGCCCAAACCAGAUUCGGGCUGAAAGGUCGCUGAGUCAGACUUUUAGGGGCUCCGAGAAGCAGCAAGCCCUCUGCCUUCACUGUUCCUUUUUCUUUUAUUUUUAGCUCCCCACCCCCACCCCUGCUCCCGCUCGUGGGCUCUUCUCCUCCUGGCCCAGGGCGUGCGAAAAGGUGGAUGAACCUGGAGGCGGGAGGGGCCGGGCCAAGGGAGACGGGCAGGAAUUGGGUCGUUCCCAAGAGCGCAGCUAUUGCCUUUGCAGAGAAAGUUUGCUAUUUUUUGCAGGCGGUAGUUGAGGUUUAAUUACCCUUAAUUGCAUACAUUGUUUAUAGCGCUACGCAAUAAAUAAUUACCGAGACUAGCAGCAGCUCCUGCCUAAAGAUUUCCUCUUCUGAUUAAAGGCAUGAGGCUGUGCGCAGAAACAUUUCAUGCAGCAUGUUGGUUGGAGCAAAAGAGAAAAACAAAAGAAAGAGGAAAAAAACAAAACAAAAAACAACAGUCCAAAAUUCGUAAACCAAUAAAGGGUUUGCCAUCGCCUGAAAGGUUUUUUGUUUUGUUUUUGUUUUUUCCUUAAUCGCCAAACCACAAGGUGAGGCUUUGUAACACCAACCAACUAAGAACUCCAACUCGCCUCGUCCUGGUCUUCCUGUCGUACUCGCGAUUUUAAUAGCUCCUUCUUAGUGCCUGUUUUGGGGUGUGGAGUGCCGUCCUGUGCGCCCAACGCAGCCGCUUGGAUGCCAUCUGAACCGAAGGUCUCUUCGCCUUGCGGGCCUUGCCCAGUCCUACAGUCAGAACUAGGAGGCCUUGCUGGCCCUAGGUGAUUGGAAUUUGUUGGUGACACCAAUCAUGCCAUCAGCCAGGAAUGGGCCACCAUGGAGCGCAUGCCACUUGCUGACAGAGAGCAAGGGACUUAAUCGCCUCUAGUUACUGGGUGUUAAUGAAAAAACAAAACAAACAGAAAACCAAACAGCACAUUAUGCCGGUAACAGAAUUAGAGGUUGGAUGGCUGCGGUCUCCUAAAUGUGUCUCUUCACAUCUGCUGUUCCCCGUGCCACCUGAUGCUACCUCUCCUGGUCUCCCUAGGUCCAAAUGAAGUCUUGGGAGAAAGCUGCCAAAGGAAUGCAGGAUGGAGCCAGAGGCAGGGCUCCAUUCUUCAACAGCUGCCAGCACUGGCAUUGCCUGGCACACGGACUCCAACCCUGAAAUCUUUACCUGCAAGAACGGGAAGCUUUGGUGCUAUUGAGACCAAGUGGAUAUGGUUAUUGUGCAGUGCCAGAUUGAUAACAAGACACACAACGCUAACGAUUUAUAUUUUCAUGUGGGCAGAGGGCGUGGCGCCUGUAGCCCCGCCCACAGCAGUGAGCAGGUGGUUCUGGAACCGUCCCUGCGAUUCCUACCGGAUCCAAACGUGUGCGUUCUCAAACUCAUCUCUAACAGACUCUAGUUCAGUUUCACACAGACCCUUCUGGCUAACGUCUUCAGGAAACAUCGCAUCUGCGUACACUUUUGAAAACUUUUUUUUUUUCCCAGCUGCCUCUGAAUUCACCAACCUCAAGCGCUUGUGCCACCAUGUCUAGGUUAAUUUUUAAGAACAUUUGAAAGCACUCCCAGAUUCUUCUCCACUUAGACGAGGAUGUCCUUGGGACCAGCAGAGAGGCAGCACUGCAUGGAAAUUGAGUUUUGGUACAGCCAGUGGGGCAGAUACCCUGAGCAAUGCCAUGGAGAGGAGAAGCCAGGAUUUUUUUUUCCUGAAUAAGAAAAGGCGAAACAAUAGAUGCCCAGAAAUACUGCUGUAAUUCACCAGAACAAACAUCCGUCAGAAUCGGGGCCAGCCUUCUCGCCAGCAGCAGACAUAAACUAUCUAAAUAAUGAAAUGCAUUAGGUAUUUGAAGGCGAACUCAGAGAAAAAGGCAGCAUCUUUUCAAGGUGACUGAGCUUUCCAUGCUUUGGGCAAGCGGGAUGAAUUCAAAGGCUCGGGCGCAGAUUAAUGAGAACAGCACUUUAAAAAGGACUGGCCGAUCAUCUUUAACAAAAUGUGUUACUUUUAAAUGAA
rnacentral:lncRNA from 1 species